rnacentral:tRNA from 1 species
GGCCCCGUAGCUCAGCAGGAUAGAGCAUCGGAUUCCUAAUCCGGGGGCCACUGGUUCGAAUCCAGUCGGGGUCACCA